rnacentral:misc_RNA from 1 species
GAUGAAGAACGCAGCAAAAUGCGAUAAGUAAUGUGAAUUGCAGAAUUCAGUGAAUCAUCGAAUCUUUGAACGCACAUUGCGCCCGCUGGUAUUCCGGCGGGCAUGCCUGUUCGAGCGUCAUUUCAACCCUCAAACCCCCGGGUUUGGUGUUGGGGAUCGGCUCUGCCUCACGGCGGUGCCGCCCCCGAAAUACAUUGGCGGUCUCGCUGCAGCCUCCAUUGCGUAGUAGCUAACACCUCGCAACUGGAACGCGGCGCGGCCAUGCCGUAAAACCCCAACUUCUGAAUGUUGACCUCGGAUCAGGUAGGAAUACCCGCUGAACUUAAGCAUAUCAUAACGGAGG